rnacentral:misc_RNA from 1 species
UACGGAGGGUGCAAGCGUUAAUCGGAAUUACUGGGCGUAAAGCGCGCGUAGGUGCCUUGAUAAGAGGGUUGUGAAAGCCCCGGGCUCAACCUGGUAACGGCAUCCGGAAGUGUCAAGCUAGAGUGCAGGAGAGGAAGGUAGAAUUCCCGGUGUAGCGGUGAAAUGCGUAGAGAUCGGGAGGAAUACCAGUGGCGAAAGCGGCCUUCUGGACUGACACUGACACUGAGGUGCGAAAGCGUGGGUAGCAAACAGG